CCUACGGGUGGCAGCAGUGGGGAAUCUUGCACAAUGGGGGAAACCCUGAUGCAGCGACGCCGCGUGGGUGAAGAAGUAAUUCGGUAUGUAAAGCUCUAGCAGCGGGGAAGAAAAUGACGGUGCCUGAGUAAGAAGCCCCGGCGAACUACGUCCCAGCAGCCGCGGUAAUACGUAGGGGGCAAGCGUUAGCCGGAUUUACUGGGUGUAAAGGGAGCGUAGACGGCAGGGCAAGUCUGGAGUGAAAGGCGGGGGCUCAACCCCCGGACUGCUCUGGAAACUGUACGGCUGGAGUGCAGGAGAGGUAAGUGGAAUUCCCAGUGUAGCGGUGAAAUGCGUAGAUAUUAGGAGGAACACCAGUGGCGAAGGCGGCUUACUGGACUGUAACUGACGUUGAGGCUCGAAAGCGUGGGGAGCAAACAGGAUUAGAUACCCUUGUAGUC
rnacentral:rRNA from 1 species